ACAGACUUGAAAUUCUACGACUUAACUUCUGUGAAUUUAGAUUCACAAUUGUGCUCUGAAAUUCUUAGUUCUACCGUGCAUGACACCAGGAGAACAUGAAAGAGGUGAGGCCAUCUGGAAUUUCAAAAAGAAAUCCCUCAUUUCGAACUAGCAAUUCCCUUGUGGUAUUUGUGUCGAAAUCACUGACUAAUUUCUCUCCGUAAACUUUUUCUCAACGUACAUCAAGGGAAGUCAUGCGAUAAAUUCCGAAAUCGAAUAAUUUCCCAUCUAAAAUUCUAUAAAUAGAACCCCCAUGAUCCGUCAGUAUUUAAAUACAAGUGCAUGUGUUUGUGACACUCGCACAAUACUCUGGAAUAACGGAAUGUUAUCGCUGACGUGCUAGACAGCCUCGUAAAAUGACAAGACGUGACAUAAACUUGAGUAGAAGACUAGUAGGAGAUCAUGAAACGGUACAAUGUGCGACAAUGAUUGGAGGAAACCUCAGUACAUUUGCACAAAUGCAAUGGAAACGGUGACGUGGCUCUACUGGUGCAUUAAAUUAAUUUUUCAAAUCAGUUAAUCGAUAAUGCGAAGGCUCAAUAAUUUCAAAUCGAAGACAAAUGGAUCUAUCGUAGGACUCUCAUCUGUAGUCGUACACUGGCCCUUUAUCGGCUCCACAUCAAUUCCUGAUUUUUGAAUUUGCGUGAUGGUGGAAACCAGAAGGAAAAUCAAUUUUUCGAAGAAUUUUGGAAAUACCUGGCAUAAACGACCAUUUGAUAAACAUAAUUUCCUUUCAAGUUUAUCUCUGUAUCAUCUGAUCACCCAACAUUCACCCAAAUUUUAUGAAACCCAACACUCACUUCAAAAUCCUGUGGACAAGUACACGGAUGUUCACCAAUGAGUCUACAACAAACGCUCGGAUUCAUCGAUAGAACUCCCACCAUCGUGCUCAACAUAUCUGGACCCGAUAUAUAAGGGAAUUUCUUGUAUUUCAUAUCCGUGAAGACAAGAUUCCAGAUGCCAUGUCGCUUCACCAACUCUCCAUCCAUGGCCUUGAAUUAUACCAGCCCUGUUAUUUCAAUGAAUUUCCACCACGUCAUCUUGAAUAACAAUAACUAUCUACCAUUUUAAAGAGACUUCCCAUCCUGGCGGUGCUGGAAUAAAUUGCAUAAUACGAUGGUGACGGUCUCAUUAAUCGUAUCCUAGAGACUGUGACCUCGGAUAAAUCGUCAAUGACGACUAAUCGUAUUAUCGAGUUGCCGAUGAGAUAAUAAAGCGACUCGUUCAGGUCUGCAAUUUAUCCGUCAUCUCAAUAAUCUUGGAAUUGCUGGUGGACGAGUGCACCAACGUAAAAAUCAAUACAACUUGUUUUUUUCAAAAUCGUCACUAACAAUAUCAAAACAGCACUAGCAUAACUCAAAUUUGGAAAAUUGAGAUUUGAAAAGAAUUCCAAGGAAAAUUCAUAAAAAUUGACUUUUGGAAAAAAAUAAUUCAAUAAAUAAUUCCCUAGAUUGAUAAUUGAUACCCGUUGAUGUCGGAGUUCACAUAAAAAUUAACUAUGAAUAAUUAUAUGUGAAUUGUGAAUGAAUCUGGCAACGCUGGCGCCUAAUCAACAAGACAGCAAUUCAUAGCGGAGGUGACUACGUCACAGGGUCGUGUAAGAUGACUAGACUAAGCAAGUCGUCAAUGGCUUGAACAUAGGGAAUAAUUGAGCCACCUGUUCUUAAAUACAGAAUCGAAUUAUUGUAAGCCAGAGCCUGCAGUUUAUCCCACCCGGUGUACGUGGUAUCCAAUACCAGGGUGAUGCCAUCAAAGAGUGCAGCGCACACUGGAACAUUGUAAUCCGGGAUAAACAGCUGUACUGCGAGUAUCCUCGUCAAAUGCUUCAAUUGCGCACAUAAAGGGGGUCAAAAAUCAAUUAUAAUCAAUGUGAUCAACACAUUUAACAAUGCCAUCACUUCUAUCUUAUCUGAUUUCUUAAAUUGCAGCAUUGGGAUUAUUCAUUGGGGCUCAAUAUUACGAGUUCAUUGAGGCGACGAAAAUUUAAUUAAAGACUUCAUUCUCCAUAGUAAUCCAUAUUCUAAGAGUUUCUUAAUUUUUGAAGACUGUUAUUACUGAUCAAAUAUCAGAUCCAUUAUUUAUUUAUUAUUUACUUAAUUUUAAGAAUAUUUUGAAAAAUAUUCUUACCUUGCUGGAAGCUCCCUUCGACAUUGUGCCGAUCAACUUGCACCGACUUGACAUCAACACUAACUUUAUCACUCUCAUGAGCUUUCUCAGCUGCCGGUAUGACAUCAUCCAGUAGCUUCACGACGCUGACAUCAGAGUUUUCCACGACAACCACUAUUAUCCGAAGAAAUGGAAAUUAUCAAAGAACUAAAUUACCUGUAACUUUCUCUCCCGCGGGAUUCGACUACAACCCAUUUAUAAAAAAAACUUACAGAGUUUGAUCUGAGACUGGGACUCGGCGCAACAACUGAAGAAACUCAAUGCAAUUGCAGUGAUGACCCACAGGUUGAUCAUGGUGAUGCAUCGAUGAGCCCAUCGACGAAUGUAACUCCAUGUCUUCUAUAUUCACCUGAUGCGGUGAACCAGGAGUCAGCCAGGAGGCUCACGCCUGCGCCCCCUGGAAGCCCUGGCAUAUCUACGUGUACAAAGGCAUAUGAAUAAUUAAUCAGCCCAUCGAAUCAUUUCUUCAGGCUUCACGUGUACGUUCAAGUGGAACCACUCGAUAAUCCCCAAAUCCUCGAUUAUUCCUUCUCCACUUCCGGCUUGUGACAUUACAGUGCCAUUUCUACCCUUCAACCGUUGCCGAAUUUUUAUUGUAGUCCCUUCGGCGAUGACGAAUAGGUCAAUAAUCAUGACGAUAACUAUGGUUUCCCCUCUGUUUUCAUACAAUACAUAUUGAUAUAUUGAUCGGUAUGGAUUUUUUAUGCUGUGCUUGUUGUUCUUCGAUUUUUUUUUCUUGUUUGACGUGAAGAAAUUUACAUGAAUAAUUACAGUCAAGGAAUGGUGGGGGAAUCAUCCUUAAUGAUGGAUGGUCGAGUGUCCACCUCACAGUGUAUUUACCUCAACCAAUUUCAACUGGACAAUCAGAUGAAAUAUCUCGUUAUCAAAUGCAUUCGAUCCAGUCAAAUAAUAAGAAAAUUCUGGGAGCUUUGUCAUUCAACAUUAUGAUAUUCACGCAAAUAAUGGAGAAUUUCGUAGAAUUACGUAGACACUAUCACCUAAACCCAAAAUGCAACGGAACAGAUAAUAUCGAUUGUCAACUUCCUGUCGCUGGUAUUGGCAAGGCACUGAGGAACUGAAACGUGUGACUUAUCUUCAAUCGAAUAUCGCCGGUGCUGUUUAUUGGAAAUGGCUCAUGUGGCGGUGUACCUGAUGAAAUGGGAAAUAAAAAAGGCUGGGGAGGGACAUUAAAUUUUAACAGUUAGCCCACUAAAUGUGGACUUCCUCCUUCGUGUCACUAUGCUCGGCUUCAGGAACCUCGAGACAUUCUCACGGAUUUUGUAAAUUGAUCUCACCGACGCAGGAAAUUAUUGUACAUUCAUUUGGAAUUUUAUUUACCGUUUUUUUUUCGUGAAUAUUUCUGUAAUUCUUGCUACAUGAAGAUAUUGCUCUAGAUGAACUAGAACGUUGUGGGUGUCAAUAAUUUGGAAUAGUUAUUGGCAAAUACUGUAGCGUAUUUGUUCUCGUCCACUUAAAGGACGUGUUUGGUGAAUUUCUAUUCUCGUGACUUAUUAUUUAUUGUGUGGAAAUAAUUUACAGGAAAUAAUUUAUUUAUUGGUUUCAAAGAUUACUUAACUGUCCUUAGGAUUAAAUUAAUUCGUGAACAGUGGAUGCCCUUGUUAGGAAUUUUUAUGACCAGGCUAUAAAUAAUUUAUUAACAGCCGGUGGAUUGGAAUUCUUUUCAGUGCUCGUACAACAUUUUUUCUAGAAAUUUUCUCGACGUGUAAAUAUCCGAAGACUCUCCUUGGACUCCACUUGGAACUUCAGGUGUGAAAAUACCGCGGCAGAUAUCGUCAGGGCAAAAUCAGUGAACUCAAUCGACAGUCCAAUGCCAACCGAUUCUGUUCACCAUCGGUAGAGCUAUGGGGGAAGGGGCUCACCUCCCCCUAGCUUGAUUAAUUUCUAUGCUCGAGAAGGUUCAUGAGUCAACGAUGCGCAGUCGCUCAGUGGAUAUACCAUAAUUCACAAGACAGCGAAAAAAAAAUGAAAAGGGAAAAAAUUGGAAGAGAUUGCUCUGCAGAUGUUUCACUUCCAAGGCGGCAGGUGAGCCGAGAUGCUUCGAUAACUCCCGGAUAUUUUUAAAUGCUUCGCCGCGCGCGAUUCGUUCGCGCCCCGGUGUCCACGAUCUGCUACCAUUAUCGCUGAGAUUUUUCAACUUUCCGAGAUUUUGAUUGAGUCAAUGAGUAUUAAAAAAAUUAAUUAUACCGCAACUGAAUAGAAGGGGAAGGGAUUUUCUAAUCGCAAUAUUUUCUAUCCCAAGAUAAAAUUCCUAUGAAACGCGUGUCAAUUUUUUCUUCUACUGAUCAUCAAGAUUUUUUUUAGAAAUAAAAUUUAUGAUUAGA